GGCAGCGUGGCCUAAUGGGUAGAGUGUUGGACUAGGACCUGGGAGGCUGGGGUUCGAAUCCUCGCACAGCCA